AAAUUCCUUUGAUUGAUAUAAUUUACAGGAUGUAGACUGGUCAUUUGCAUUUAGAAUUUUAAAAAAAAUUAUAAUAUUCUGAAAAUUGCAACCAAACAAUGAAAAUGGGUAGAUGAUUUUAUUUGCAACAAACCACGAGAACACACCUUAUGAUAUGUUUUACGUUUUACACUUUAUUAUAUAAUAUAACUAAUUUUCAUUUUUUAUCCUUUAAUUUCAUUGUACAAAAUAAGAAGCAAAUUUUGACCAUAAAGAGAGAUUUUAUAUAACACUCUAAAAUGCCAUGUCAGUUUACUAUGCAUGUCAAAUUAAUGCCAUAUUACUAAAUUUUCGGAUGCAGAGUGCAAGCGUAUCAUUGAGGCUAAUAUAUCAGAUAGUUUAUAUUAGUUUUGUUUUAGUUUUACAUCUACAUGUAUCCUGUGAUUCAAGCAAUUUGAAUUGUACAAUUCUGAUGUGGUGAGUUCAGGGUUAAGAUGGCUAAUUGAGCAUAUGUUUAACCUUUUCACACAUGUAUUAGCCUGUUUCAAAUAAGACUCUUAAUUUAGUGAUUAUCAAAAAUUGCUUGUCUGAUAUAUAUGCUCUACAGGAAUUACCCAGUCAUGAAAAAAGGCUACAUUAGAAUACUGCUGUUCGAAAGUCAUAAAUAGAUUGAAAAAAAAACCCGAUUCAGAUUGUUUGUUGUUUUUUCGGUGUAAUUAAUUCAUAUUUUGGUAUUCAAGGAGUUUCGAUCUUUUUAUGUUCAGAAGACUGCCAUUACACCAAUCUGAGCAUUUCGUUAUGUUAAAUUGCUUCUUUGUGAGCUUUUGUUUGGGUUUCCAUGUUUAUAUCAGUUGCUUUUCACCUUUGCGCCAAUCUUUUAAGAGUCAAUUAUUUUCCAGCUGAAUUGUACAAUUCUGAUAUAUAGCAUGUAACACCAAGUUUGUAGGUGGUUAGAUACAAAAGGAUUUGUUUGUACAUAUUCUAUCUUUACAAGUUUUUUACUCGUAUAAUAUAAUUAUAUUGUGA
rnacentral:lncRNA from 1 species